GUCCCUUCGGGGACAACCGAUAAAAUUGGAACGAUACAAAGAAUAUUAGCAUGGCCCCUACGCAAGGACGACGCGCGAGAAAAAAAUGUUUGGUGAGGGAUU